GAUGAACGCUGGCGGCGUGCCUAAUACAUGCAAGUCGAGCGAACGGGCGAGAAGCUUGCUUCUCUGAUGUUAGCGGCGGACGGGUGAGUAACACGUGGAUAACCUACCUAUAAGACUGGGAUAACUUCGGGAAACCGGAGCUAAUACCGGAUGAUAUUUUGAACCGCAUGGUUCAAAAGUGAAAGACGGUCUUGCUGUCACUUAUAGAUGGAUCCGCGCUGCAUUAGCUAGUUGGUAAGGUAACGGCUUACCAAGGCAACGAUGCAUAGCCGACCUGAGAGGGGGAUCGGCCACACUGGAACUGAGACACGGUCCAGACUCCUACGGGAGGCAGCAGUAGGGAAUCUUCCGCAAUGGGCGAAAGCCUGACGGAGCAACGCCGCGUGAGUGAUGAAGGUCUUCGGAUCGUAAAACUCUGUUAUUAGGGAAGAACAUAUGUGUAAGUAACUGUGCACAUCUUGACGGUACCUAAGCAGAAAGCCACGGCUAACUACGU
rnacentral:rRNA from 1 species